GAUGAACGCUAGCGGCAGGCCUAAUACAUGCAAGUCGAACGGUGUCUUCGGACAUAGUGGCGCACGGGUGCGUAACACGUAUGCAACCUACCUUACAUUGGGGGAUAGCCUUUCGAAAGGGAGAUUAAUACCGCAUAAGACAGUAGCUGGGCAUCCAGCAGCUGUUAAAGAUUUAUCGAUGUAAGCUGGGCAUGCGUCCAAUUAGCUAGUUGGUGAGGUAACGGCUCACCAAGGCAAUGAUUGGUAGGGGAACUGAGAGGUCAAUCCCCCACACUGGCACUGAGAUACGGGCCAGACUCCUACGGGAGGCAGCAGUAGGGAAUAUUGGGCAAUGGACGCAAGUCUGACCCAGCCAUGCCGCGUGCAGGAUGAAGGCGUUAUGCGUUGUAAACUGCUUUUAUACAGGAAGAAACGACUCUUGCGAGAGGCAUUGACGGUACUGUAUGAAUAAGCACCGGCUAACUCCGUGCCAGCAGCCGCGGUAAAAC
rnacentral:rRNA from 1 species